CUCAGGAUGAACGCUAGCGGCAGGCCUAACACAUGCAAGUCGAGGGGUAACGAGAAGUGCUUGCACUUCGGCGACGACCGGCGCACGGGUGAGUAACGCGUAUGCAACCUGCCUUCUACAGGAGGAUAGCCCGGAGAAAUUCGGAUUAAUACUCCAUAGUAUUGUUUUUACACAAGUUUAGACAAUUAAAGCUACGGCGGUAGAAGAUGGGCAUGCGUCCUAUUAGUUAGUUGGUAAGGUAACGGCUUACCAAGGCAUCGAUAGGUAGGGGGCCUGAGAGGGUGGUCCCCCACACUGGUACUGAGACACGGACCAGACUCCUACGGGAGGCAGCAGUGAGGAAUAUUGGUCAAUGGAGGCAACUCUGAACCAGCCAUGCCGCGUGCAGGAAGAAUGCCCUAUGGGUUGUAAACUGCUUUUAUUUAGGAAGAAUCCCCAGUACGUGUACUGGGUUGACGGUACUAAACGAAUAAGGACCGGCUAACUCCGUGCCAGCAGCCGCGGUAAUACGGAGGGUCCAAGCGUUAUCCGGAAUCAUUGGGUUUAAAGGGUCCGCAGGCGGACUAGUAAGUCAGUGGUGAAAUCUCUCAGCUCAACUGGGAAACUGCCAUUGAUACUGUUAGUCUUGAAUUCGGUCGAAGUGGGCGGAAUGUGUCAUGUAGCGGUGAAAUGCAUAGAUAUGACACAGAACACCGAUAGCGAAGGCAGCUCACUAGGCCUGAAUUGACGCUCAGGGACGAAAGCGUGGGGAGCGAACAGGAUUAGAUACCCUGGUAGUCCACGCCGUAAACGAUCAUUACUCGAUAUCAGCGAUAUACUGUUGGUGUCUAAGCGAAAGUGAUAAGUAAUGCACCUGGGGAGUACGAUCGCAAGGUUGAAACUCAAAGGAAUUGACGG
rnacentral:rRNA from 1 species